rnacentral:rRNA from 1 species
UAUCUCUGUAGAGUCUGCAUAUCAAUAAGCGGAGGAAAAGAAACUAACUAGGAUUCCCUCAGUAACGGCGAGUGAAGCGGGAAGAGCUCAAAUUUGAAAUCUUCAAGGUUCUACCUUGACGAAUUGUAGUUUAAAGAAGUGUUUUCUGUUAGUGGAGUUCGGUAAAAGUUCUUUGGAAUAGGACAUCAUAGAGGGUGAGAAUCCCGUAUUUGACCGUUAUUUUCAGCUGUGUGAUACACUUUCAAAGAGUCGGAUUGUUUGGGAAUGCAGUCCAAAAUGGGUGGUAAAUUUCAUCCUAAAGCUAAAUAUUGGCGAGAGACCGAUAGCGAACAAGUACCGUGAGGGAAAGAUGAAGAGAACUUUGAAAAGAGAGUUAAACAGUACGUGAAAUUGUCAAAAGGGAAGCGUUUGACACCAGUGUUGUUUUCUCGAAAAUCAAUUAAAAAUGAUGGGAUUUUGUGUUGUAUUGACUUUAUCAGCUUUCUGCACUUUUUUCUUAUCUUUUUUAAUGCACUUUUCGUUUAACAAGUCAACAUCAAUUUCUUUUGUUGUAAAAGAGUCAUUGGAAGGUGGCUUUCACUUCGGUGAAAGUGUUUAUAGCCUUUGACUUCUGCAAUCGGAGAGAUUGAGGUCUGCAGCGUAGAUCCUUCGGGGUUAGAUACAUUUGUGCUAAGUUAUAGUUUUUCAUAGACAACAUGUUGACUAUGAUUAAUCAUGUAGCUUACUCGCUUAUGCUAUUUUACCUACGCUUAGGAUGUUGAACGCGCACAGAGUCUC